rnacentral:tRNA from 1 species
GGUGGGUUGGCUCAGUGGUUAGAGCGUAGGUCUUGUAACCGAAAGGUAGCGGGAUCGAAUCCCGCUAGAGGUUG